AAAUCUACUUCCACCUAUUGGUGUUCUCAAUCUCUACAAACUCGCAUGAUUUUGCACUUUCGUGGGCAAAAUGAGCCUAUAGGAGAGUUAAAUUGCCCCUAUCCAGACAAAUAGCUAAUUGAGCAAAUUCUUGUGCGUCCGUUUUCUUUGUUGAAGUCAUUGUUGAUUAUCAACCAGAGGUACGCAUCUUUUGGACCCGAAUAUGCCUACCCACAGGGUGUCUACAAUCCUCACAUGGGUCAGCAUUACCUUCAAAUAUAUGGCGUACCAAGCACAGUUAACACAAAUAUUGUCCCAUAUGGACAAAUGGGUCAUCCUUUCUUUGGCAACCAUGGGU